rnacentral:rRNA from 1 species
UACGUAGGGUGCAAGCGUUGUCCGGAAUUAUUGGGCGUAAAGAGCUCGUAGGCGGUCUGUCGCGUCUGCUGUGAAAACUCGGGGCUUAACCCCGGGCCUGCAGUGGGUACGGGGCAGACUAGAGUGCGGUAGGGGAGACUGGAAUUCCUGGUGUAGCGGUGAAAUGCGCAGAUAUCAGGGAGGAACACCGGUGGCGAAGGCGGGUCUCUGGGCCGUAACUGACGCUGAGGAGCGAAAGCAUGGGGAGCGAACAGG